UUAAAUUUUAACAGUUGCAGGAGUCCCGAUGCAAUGCAUAACUCUUGGUGGAAGAAGCCCAUUGUUAAAUCAUAGAGUUUACAGGGGAUAAAAAUAAUAAUUUCUCCCGAGGUUUGAAUUGGAAGAAUCUUAUCACCGAAUAUAAACCGGAUAGGAAAAGUGGGCGGUGGUGUGGCACUUUAUGUCACUAAAACAUCUUCAGACCACCCCUGUUGAAUAACACCCGAUUUUCCAUCAACUAAAACUCGAAAAACUUUCAGGAGCAUCUACGU